UACGGAGGGUGCAAGCGUUGUCCGGAAUCAUUGGGCGUAAAGCGUUCGUAGGCGGCUUUGCAAAGUCUGGUGUUAAAUCCUGGGGCUCAACACCAGAUCUGCACUAGAUACUGGUAGGCUAGAAUGAGGUAGAGGUAAUGGGAAUUCCUGGUGUAACGGUGAAAUGUUUAGAUAUCAGGAGGAACAUCGGUGGCGUAAGCGCAUUACUGGGCCUUUAUUGACGCUGAGGAACGAAAGCUAGGGUAGCAAA
rnacentral:rRNA from 1 species